UACGUAGGGUGCGAGCGUUGUUCGGAAUUAUUGGGCGUAAAGGGUGCGUAGGCGGCGCGGUAAGUCGGGUGUGAAAUCUCGGAGCUUAACUCCGAAACUGCAUUCGAUACUGCCGUGCUUGAGGACUGGAGAGGAGACUGGAAUUUACGGUGUAGCGGUGAAAUGCGUAGAUAUCGUAAGGAAGACCAGUGGCGAAGGCGGGUCUCUGGACAGUUCCUGACGCUGAGGCACGAAGGUCAGGGGAGCAAACGGG
rnacentral:rRNA from 1 species